rnacentral:tRNA from 1 species
UGCCGAGUGGUGUAACGGUAGCACACGGGUCUUUGGAGCCUAUGGUCGGGGUUCGAAUCCCUGCUCGGCAGCCA